GUCCACGCCGUAAACGAUGAGCGCUAGGUGUUGUGGGUGUUGACCCCUGCAGUGCCGCAGCUAACGCAUUAAGCGCUCCGCCUGGGAAGUACGGCCGCAAGGCUAAAACUCAAAGGAAUUGACGGGGCCCGCACAAGCGGUGGAGCAUGUGGUUUAAUUCGACGCAACGCGCAGAACCUUACCUGGUCUUGACAUCCUCGGAAGCCGCCAGAGAUGGCGGGUGCCCGCAAGGGAGCCGAGAGACAGGUGCUGCAUGGCUGUCGU
rnacentral:rRNA from 1 species